rnacentral:rRNA from 1 species
GUGGGGAAUAUUGGGCAAUGGGCGAAAGCCUGACCCAGCAACGCCGCGUGAGGGAAGAAGGCCUUCGGGUUGUAAACCUCUGUCUUUGGUGACGAAACAAAUGACGGUAGCCAGAGAGGAAGCCCCGGCUAACUACGUGCCAGCAGCCGCGGUAAUACGUAGGGGGCGAGCGUUGUCCGGAAUUACUGGGCGUAAAGGGUGCGUAGGUGGCCUUUUAAGUUGGAUGUGAAAUCCCCGGGCUUAACUUGGGUGGUGCAUCUAAUACUGGAGGGCUAGAGUGCAGGAGAGGGAAGCGGAAUUCCUAGUGUAGCGGUGAAAUGCGUAGAUAUUAGGAGGAACACCAGUGGCGAAGGCGGCUUUCUGGACUGUAACUGACACUGAGGCACGAAAGCGUGGGGAGCAAACAGGAUUAGAUACCCUGGUAGUCC